UCGAACGGUAACAGGAUGUGCUUGCACAUCGCUGACGAGUGGCGGACGGGUGAGUAAUGCUUGGGAACUUGCCUUUGCGAGGGGGAUAACAGUUGGAAACGACUGCUAAUACCGCAUAAUGUCUUCGGACCAAACGGGGCUUAGGCUCCGGCGCAAAGAGAGGCCCAAGUGAGAUUAGCUAGUUGGUAAGGUAAUGGCUUACCAAGGCGACGAUCUCUAGCUGUUCUGAGAGGAAGAUCAGCCACACUGGGACUGAGACACGGCCCAGACUCCUACGGGAGGCAGCGGGGGAAUAUUGCACAAUGGGGGAAACCCUGAUGCAGCCAUGCCGCGUGUGUGAAGAAGGCUUCGGUUGUAAAGCCUUUCGUUUGUGAGGAAAAGUUAGUAGUUAAUACCUGCUAGCCCG
rnacentral:rRNA from 1 species